GAUGAACGCUGGCGGCGUGCCUAAUACAUGCAAGUCGAGCGAACAGACGAGGAGCUUGCUCCUCUGACGUUAGCGGCGGACGGGUGUGUAACACGUGGAUAACCUACCUAUCAGACUGGGAUCACUUCGGGAAACCGGCGCUAAUACCGGAUAAUAUACUGAACCGCAUGGUUCAAUAGUGAAAGACGGUUUUGCUGUCACUUAUAGAUGGAUCCGCGCCGCAUUAGCUAGUUGGUAAGGUAACGGCUUACCAAGGCGACGAUGCGUAGCCGACCUGAGAGGGUGGUCGGCCACACUGGAGCUGAGACACGGUCCAGACUCCUACGGGAGGCAGCAGUAGGGAAUCUUCCGCAAUGGUCGAAAGCCUGACGGAGCAACGCCGCGUGAGUGAUGAAAGUCUUCGGAUCGUAAAACUCGGUUAUUAGGUAAGAACAAAUGUGUAAGUAACUAUGCACGUCUUGACGGUACCUAAUCAGAAAGCCACGGCUAACUACGUG
rnacentral:rRNA from 1 species